rnacentral:misc_RNA from 1 species
GAUGAAGAACGUAGCGAAAUGCGAUAAGUAAUGUGAAUUGCAGAAUUCAGUGAAUCAUCGAAUCUUUGAACGCAUCUUGCGCUCCUUGGUAUUCUGAGGAGCAUGCCUGUUUGAGUGUCAUUAAAUUCUCAACCGCACUGACUUUGAAUUGGUGUGGCUUGGAUUUGGGGGGAAAAUUGUUGUGGGCUUUUUUGUAUAGUCUGCUCCCCUGAAAUUGAUUAGCGGUACCUUUGUGGAACUGUCUACAGGUGUGAUAAUUAUCUACAUCCUAGACAUCUGCUGGAAUGCUGCUUUCUAAACCUUACUUGUAUUGACAAUCUUGACCUCAAAUCAGGUAGGACUACCUGCUGAACUUAAGCAUAUCAAUAAGCGGAGGA